AGAUGUGGAUGAGGCACAGACAGUCCUGGUCCAGCGAGCACUUCCUCCUCGAAACUCAGCCAGGAUGAAACCGGAUGCCCUGUGGUUGGGUGUGGUCAGGUUAUUAACCGAGUUCUCUCAGUGGAGUGUGGGGAGAAGGGAAAGGCAAUCUCUCCUGGGGAUUGCCUGGGUGGUUCUUUUACACUGUUCUCUGCUGGUUGGCAGGGUGGGUGGAGAGUCAUCUGCUGAAGAUGGAGGGACCAUGUAAUGUGGAAAUAACAGUAGCAAACAGAUACUGUACCACACAGAUAGAAGUGCUGGUGGCGGCAAAGUUCUGAAAGUGACACAGAGGAUGGACUGCAGGCAGAAGCUCCGGUUGAGGAAGAUGGAGGAAAGCCAUUUACCAGCUCGACAGCCUUCAGCUAGGGAAAAGGCUCUGUGAGCAUCGUUAAGAAGUGCUUACCAUCCAGCGGUCACGAUGCAUCCAACAAGAGUGAGCGCUAAUGGCCUGGGAACAAAGAGGCAAAUUACUGAGGUCUACUAAAAUGUUUCUCCACUUAUCUUCAAUUAUUCAGACCCAACCCAAUUUCCUUCUAAAUUAAAUGCUGCGGCUUGAGUUAA